GUGUGGGAGCCAGGAUCUUGAAACACAACUCAAGCUUUAUGGUACGGAGGCCAAAGAACUCAAGGCCUCAACUGCAGAAAUUCAAAGAACAUACUUGUUGGAAGAUUAAACAGAGAAGAAAGGAAGGAAGAGUUAAAAAAGAAUAAAAAUAAACACUAAGUUGUCUACUCCC